GUCAUCAGUGAGAUACCACUCUUGGUAAGCUAGAGCGCUCAUUUUUAACCGUUAUCCGGUAAAAAGACAGUUUCAGGCGGGCAGUUUGACUGGGGCAGUCACCUCCCAAAAGGUAAUGGAGGUGUACAAAGGUUCUCUCAGGCUGGACGGAAAUCAGCCAUAGAGUGUAAAAGCAUAAGAGAGCUUGACUGCGAGACGGACAUGUCAAGCAGAGACGAAAGUCGGUUUUAGUGAUCCGACGGUGCUGAGUGGAAAGGCCGUCGCUCAACGGAUAAAAGUUACUCUAGGGAUAACA
rnacentral:rRNA from 1 species